AGGAGAAUUGCUUGAACCCAGAAGGCAGAGGUUGCAGUGAGCUGAGAUCAUGCCACUACACUGCAGCCUGGGCAACAGAG
rnacentral:snRNA from 1 species